UAGCUUUUCUGGACAAAAACUCCA
rnacentral:siRNA from 1 species